rnacentral:rRNA from 1 species
AACGAACGCUGGCGGCAUGCCUAACACAUGCAAGUCGAACGAGACCUUCGGGUCUAGUGGCGCACGGGUUCGUAACGCGUGGGAACCUGCCCUUAGGUUCGGAAUAACUCCCCGAAAGGGGUGCUAAUACCGGAUAAUGUCUUCGGACCAAAGAUUUAUCGCCUUUGGAUGGGCCCGCGUUGGAUUAGCUAGUUGGUAGGGUAAAAGCAUACCAAGGCGACGAUCCAUAGCUGGUCUGAGAGGAUGAUCAGCCACACUGGGACUGAGACACGGCCGAGACUCCUACGGGAGGUAGCAGUGGGGAAUAGUGGACUAUGGGCGAAAGCCUGAUCCAGCAAGGCCGCGUGAGUGAUGAAGGCCUUAGGGUUGUAAAGCUCUUUUACCCGGGAUGAUAAUGACAGUACCGGGAGAAUAAGCUCCGGCUAACUCCGUG